GGAGGGUGCAAGCGUUGUUCGGAAUUAUUGGGCGUAAAGCGAGUGCAGGCGGUUGGGUAAGUCAGAUGUGAAAGCCUUCCGCUUAACGGAAGAAGUGCAUUUGAAACUGCUCAGCUAGAGUACGGGAGAGGAGAGUGGAAUUCCCGGUGUAGAGGUGAAAUUCGUAGAUAUCGGGAGGAACACCAGUGGCGAAGGCGGCUCUCUGGUCCGAUACUGACGCUGAGACUCGAAAGCGUGGGGAGCAAACAGGAUUAGAUACCCUGGUAGUCCACGCUGUAAACGAUGGGCACUAGGUGUAGGAGGUAUUGACCCCUUCUGUGCCGAAGCUAACGCAUUAAGUGCCCCGCCUGGGGAGUACGGCCGCAAGGUUA
rnacentral:rRNA from 1 species